rnacentral:ncRNA from 15 species
GGAGAAGUGGCAGAUAGAAAUGCAUGCGGCUUGAAACCGUUGGAUAGAGGUUCAAUUCCUCUCUUCUCUU